GACGAACGCUGGCGGCGCGCUUAACACAUGCAAGUCGAACGGAAAGGCCUGCUUUCCCUUGUGGAUUGCGGGUACUCGAGUGGCGAACGGGUGAGUAACACGUGAGUGAUCUGCCCCCAACUUGGGUAUAAGCCUGGGAAACUGGGUCUAAUUCCCGAUAGGACUGCAGGGUGGUGCCUGUGGUGGAAAACGAUUUUCUAGUGGUUGGGGAUGAGCUCGCGGCCUAUCAGCUUGUUGGUGGGGUAAUGGCCUACCAAGGCGGCGACGGGUAGCCGGCCUGAGAGGGUGGACGGCCACAUUGGGACUGAGAUACGGCCCAGACUCCUGCGGGAGGCAGCAGUGGGGAAUAUUGCACAAUGGGCGGAAGCCUGAUGCAGCGACGCCGCGUGGGGGAUGACGGCCUUCGGGUUGUAAACUCCUUUCGACCGCGAGGAAGCCACCUGGUUGGAAGGGUGGUGACGGUAGUGGUAGAAGAAGCACCGGCUAACUACGUG
rnacentral:rRNA from 1 species